AUCGUCUCACAAUCCAACUAUGCCAAUUCAUAGUAUUUCCCAGAAUUCGGAUCAAAGUAACAGUUCAGACAUGGAUCAUACAGAAGAGUCAACAUUUCCUUAUCUUCUUCAGCUAUAAAUGGAAUCUUACCAUGAGCUGGAGUGAGAAAGUGGGCUCAUUUCUUUCUGAUAGUGAUGAUCCUGACUGGUGGGCUAUGGAAAACAAAAAGUAACAGUGAGAAAAUGACUCUGCAAAUAUUCUUUCAGUAUGUUUAGAAGUAUGCAAGAGAUCUUUUAUGAGCAUACAUACACAUUUACAGCUUCUGAUAUUAGAAUUUUACGGCCUUUUUCGUUACCUGUGAAAUUAAAAAUGGAUGUUCAGAGUCUAACUGUGCAAAAGUACGAUGUAACAGAUGAUUCUUACCUGGCUGGAAAUAAAUAUGAAUUAAAGAGUUGACCACAUGGUCAUUUCUCUACUGCCUGUGAGUGUUGGGGCUGAGUCAAGAAGCUUCAGAGAGGGAGGGUGGCAAAGUCUUGUCUGAUAGGAAAAUCUGGACUGUAUGUGCAUAGAAAGCAUGGUGCAGGAACUCUUAGUAGGAUCUGUGCAGAACCAACCAUUCUUAAGAUGUGACAACACUGAGGCAGAGCUAACAGGACUGGCAGGCACGGCUCAUCUCUCAUCAGAAGUACCAGUAACAGUAACCUAAGCAGUCCCAAAUUAAAUUUGCUGAAGCAGAUAUGAUUCCUUAUGGCACUGCCAACUUGAUGCCUGGAUUCAGCUAUUCAUGAACAGAUAAUGUGGACUGUGUGAACAUUCACACAAAAUAUACUCUAACCAAAUCACUGAAGCAAGUGCAAAAGAAGUGAAAAUACAAGCAAUACAUUAACAAGACUUGUACGACUUAGUACAUGAAAUACUAAAAAUAAACACUAAGCACUAUGAAAGCAAUUGUCUUUUCUUACGGAAAUCAAUAUAAAAAUUAGUAUCUUCUCAUGGCUUCAGGAAGCACGGAGGGAUGUUGUAAAAUGUAUGUACAGGAUGAAUGACAUCCUAAUUACUGCCAAAUAUGAGUCACUGCCUGGUGGUGGGUAGUGCAAUGCCCAAAUGAUGGCUACUAGAAGACUGAGAAUGAAACAAAAAGUGAACUAGUUAGUCUGUGAACCAGAAUAUCUGUCUAAAUAACUUUUAGUCUCAUUUCGUAGUAAAGAAUAGUCUGCCUCAGUUUUGCAAUUUGACUUGAUGUGAACAGAUCCCUCCAGGGGUCGUCAGACCGAGCUCUCAGCUGGAAUAAUUCUGGGUUUAAAUAUCACUCCUCUUGUCUGUCAGACUUCAGUUCUGCCAAACCAUUUC